UACGUAGGGGGCAAGCGUUGUCCGGAAUCAUUGGGCGUAAAGAGCGUGUAGGCGGCCAGACAGGUCCGUUGUGAAAACUCGAGGCUACAACCCGUCGAGACGCCGGAAUGGAAACCGUCUGGCUAGAGUCCGGAAAGAGGAGAGUGGAAUUCCGUGGUGUAGCGGUGAAAUGCGCAGAUAUCAGGAAGAACACCCGUGGCUAAGGCGGCUCUCUAGUACGGUACUGACGCUGAGACGCGAAAGCGUGGGGAGCGAACAGG
rnacentral:rRNA from 1 species